UUUCAUAGACUCUUAGAUGUGUGAAACUACAACUUCUUUGAACCUUCUGAUUUGUGAAUUUGUGACCUUUCUAUUUCUAGCUGCUUUGUUUCCUCUGCGUAUUAGCUUUCCAUGUAGUGACUUUGCCCACAUGCUUAAUUUUCUUUUCAGAUCUCUCCUCCUCUACUGUGACUAUCUAUUUUUUGUUUGACCCUCUUUCUGAUCUUUCUGCAUUUGAUUCCUAUGUUGGUAUUUGCAUUUGCACUUCAUGAUUUUCUCAUUUCAUAUUCCUAAUCCUCAAAUGUGGUACAUGUGAUUUAUCACUAUUGAUGAUCCUCCUUUGUGCACUCUCCAAUUCCAUAAAAUUGUGGCACAUAAAAUUCCCUUUAUCUAGUGUAUGAUUACCUAGAGAAUCUGCUAAUGUGUUCCCAUCCCAUCAAAUAUGGGUAUACCUAACCUGAAUCCCUCUACUAAUUUCCCAAAUCUCCUUAUAUGACAUCCCGGUUUAAGAGGAAAGUCCCACAUCGGCAAAAUACAAGAAAGAAGUUGGGUAUAUAAGUAAGCAGCCCUUACACCCCAGUGACUCGCUUUAAAGACGUGCGGACCUAGGACCAAAGAGGACAAUAUUACUAGCGAAUUGGGUCAUUACAGAUGGUAUCAGAGUCACUCUUGUGUCAGCUUUUUUAUGGUGGGUCAAAGUUCAACUGAGUUUAGGCAAAUCCCGAGUAAGUGAAAUAAACCUCAGCGCUGAGUCUAGGAAAAUCCCAUGCAGUUGGGCAAACCUUGGCAAGGAUACUGAGUUCAUAAUAGGGGGGUGUAUGUGACAUCCCAACUUAGGAGGAAAGUCUCACAUCGGCAAAACACAAGAGAGACGCUAGGUAUAUAAAUAAAUAGGCCUUACAACCCUAGUGACGUGUUUUAAAGCCGUACGGGCCUAGGCCGAAAGUGGACAAUAUCACCAGCGAGUUGGGUCAUUACACCUCAAUCCACACAGCAAUGUUCCAAAGUGGCUUUUAUUCCUCUAAUAAAAUUUGUUAUACCAAUUUUUGAAUCAGUCUGAAUGAUUAUAUUUUUUAUCUGCUUAUUUUUUACAAAAUUCUAGAGAUUCACGAAUAGAAAUAGUCUCUAUCUCAGUAUUGGUUGAGUAACCAAACUCUUCUAAUUGGGGCAUAGAUUAGAUUUCCUUCUGAAUCUCUCAAACAAAAACCAUAUGAGCAAAAAAUGUGUUUUGAACGUUAUACCCUAAACCCUAAAUCCUAAACCCUAAACCCGUGUGAUACUUCACAUGUAUUUGGUCUUUUCUUGAAUGGUAAUAAUUAUAUUCGUAAACGACACAAAAGUAGGUGAAGAAUUUUUUGUAAAAGUCACAAAAAAAAGUAUAUCCCCCUUCUAAUAUUAGAGGAACUCUAUAAUUCUAGUGAAUUUCGGACUCAUUUGCAUAUUCCUUCUUACACGAAAAGUGAAAUAACAAGAUACAAUCUUAAUCCUCUCAAUUGACUUUUGCUUAUCUUCAAAACAUCUACAAAUCACCCACCACAUUCAAGGAGGAGUUGUAUGCCACCAAUUAUUUCUUACUUUGUUCCAACUCUUGCCUAUACCAAUAACUCAAAAAAACUCGUGUAUUCCCAAGCACAGAGCAUUUGAUUUAGGCAAAGUUGAGAAAUAACUAACAUAAAUGGUCAAUAAUAGGUCAGUGCAAAAAAGGGUGGUUGAUGGUUUCCGUUUGGCAUCCAUAUAAAUAGCAUCUGUGAUGUAUACAUGAUUUAUCUCAGAUGAUGUGUAUCGUCCAUUUCUAACUCUUUCUAUCUUUGUUUGUUUCUAUUUCCUUUUUACAUACAUCCAUCUAUUGCCUCUCCUGCUAGUUUCCAUCGGUAAAAAUGUUCUAAGUAGUAAAUAGGUUGCACAAAACUUUAUAGUUUGUAUUCAUCCAUGUUUUAACUCUUGCAUCUUUGUUCUUCUCUAUUCUCUUUUCCCACUACCACUACCUCUUUCUAUUGCAUCUCUUGAUAGUCCACAUAAAAGGAACAUCUUUUAAGGAAAGUUAUGUUUUCUUCAAAGGAUAUGGUUGAAACAUGUGAUUGAAUGUUAUACCUGUUGUAUCUCACAUCAGAGAUACCCAUCCGGUUUUAACUCUUGUUAACUUUGUAUUUGUCUAUUUCCCUUUUACCAAUGAUACACUAGUGCUCUCUCUGCCGCAUGUCCUGCUUUUGUCUAUUAGAAAACAUGUUUUCAGCAGUACAUAGGAUGUAUCGCACAUAAAUAUGUACUCAUCCAUUUUCUAUCUCAAUCUCUAUUUUCUCCUUUUUUUGUUCACUUGCUCACUACUACACAACUUGUUGCCACUAUAACCAGGUUCAUCACUAAUUUCACUUAUUGCCAUCUUUGCACCUCUCAAUAUUUAUUUUCCCAUCGUGAUACUGGCUUUCUUAGAAAAAGUUAUCAUUAAAGCCCAUCACAAAUAAUCAUUGAUAAACUACCAUAAACCACCAAUAACAUGCUAUCCUUUGUGAGCCAAAGUCUCCUAACUGACAAAGUUAUGAAAGUUAUUAUGCAUCACUUAAUUGUCAAUCUUAAACAUAAGUUCAAAUGUCCAUAUGCAAUAGUGGCGUAGCCAGGAAGUUUGUUAAAGAUGUUCAAAGUUAGAUGUAAAAAUUUUUUUUUAAUGAAUGGGCGCACCAAAAAUAUAAAUCAAACUAUACAAUAUUUAGCUAAAUGACUUUUAAGAUUUGUUUGUUUGAAAUAAGAUUAAUUAAAAAAAGAAAAAAGAAAAGUCAAACAGAGACAUGUGGUGAAUUGGUACAGGUAGUUUAGCCUUUUAAAAGAGAAAAAAGUUGUCUUUGGGAAUUGAACUUCGGUCUGCAAGACUUUCUGAACAGCCUUCACUACUGGACUACCAUCUCCAAAUAGUCCAACUGUGUUCAAAAUAUCAUAUAUGCUGAUAUAAGAUAGUAUUUCACCUAUAUAUACAGUAUAAUUAUCCGGCGAAAGAUGUUCGCCUGAACACCCUUGGUAGGCUGUAGCUCUGCCCCUGAUGCACAAGCAGGGAAUAUAUUCUACGAAGAGAAGUUAUUGAAGUGUGCAUAAGAAACUGGGUAUUGACUCUGAUUCUCCUAAAGCUAAACCUCGGAUUCUCAAAUUUGCUUGUCGAAUUCACUGAUUCCCUCUCACUGGCAUAAGUUCUUCAAAAUGUGGAUGGUCGUUCCAUCAAGAGAGUACCUUUGUUUCCAUCUUUAGUUGUUCCAUGGAUAUCAAGAAGGAAAGUAAUUAAGAAGCAUGAGGGAAAAUGUAGCAACAUGUUUCUAUCCCUUCAAAUCAUCCUGGAAGAACUUCAGCCUAUUUGACUUGAAGAAUGGUACCAGUAAUUUUAGCAAAGGUAUGUGAUUUGUUUUGAAGUCUCUCUUUUUUGCAUUGAGGCUAAUAUAUUUUACAUCUACUACUCUUUCAUGAUGCUCCCAUGAGUCCAUUUCAUUUUUUAGUUAGUUUUAGACCAUAUAUGUGUAUUCUAUAGUUAAUCUCCUUCUUUGAUAGAAAAUUUGAUUGGAAAAGGAAGGUGUGCCGAUGCUUACAAUGAUUGUUUUCCUGAUGGUCAGCUUGUCGUAGUUAAGCGCUUCAAUAAAGGUACACCAGAGGAAACUAGAACAAAGCUUCCUAUGUGAAAUUGGUACUAUAGCACAUGUAGACCAUCAUAAUACACUUAGAGAAGACCAGAUUAUUUUACCAAAAUUGUAGAUUAUGGAAGAUUUAGUAAUACCAGCUAGUAUAGUACCUGAGGCACAAAAUCUUCCGUAAGUAGAAUAUUAUCAGCUUUGAUAUCACUGUGUAUAAUCCACCUUUGGCAAUUCUCAUGAAGAUAAAGUAGACCAUGUGCUAUUCCAAAAAUUAUUUUGUACCUGGCGGCCCAAUCUAGCUUAUCCCUUGAGCCUGAAAAAAUAGAAAACGGUAAAGUACCUUGUGUUAGAGCAGAAAAGGACGGUUAAUCAAAUACAAUAAAAAAAAAUUGUCUUGUAAUGAGAAACUUUGAGACAAAACAUGACUAAGUGAUCCUAAGCUUCCUUGAGAAGAUAACUGAAGAACAAGAUAUGUGCGUCCUUCCACUCUAUAGUUAACCAUCCUUGCAGUAUUAGGAUGGUCUACAUGUGCUAUAGUACCAAUUUCACAUAGGAAGCUUUGGUCCUGCUCACUUGGAGUACCUUUAAUAAGGCGCUUACCACAACAAGCUGACCAUCGGGCAAGCAACCCUUGUAAACUUUAGCAUAUCCUCCUUUGCCAAUCAAGUUUUCUGCCAAAGAAAGAGAUCAAGUCUGGAAUACACAUUUAUGCUCUAAAGCUUUCUUAAAAAUGAAAUAGAAUCAUGAAAGAGUAGUAGAUGUAGAAAUGUAUUAGCCCGCAUGCAAAAAAGAGAGACAUCAAGCCGGAUUAUAAACCGUUCCUAAAAUUAUUGGUAGCAUUUUUUAGGUCAGAUAGGGUGAAGUUCUUCCAGGAUGAUUUGAAUGGAUCAAGACAUGUCGGUGCAUUUUCCCUCACGCUUCUGCUUUUCCUUCUGGAUGUCUUUGGCACAACUAAAGUUGGAAAAUAAGGUAAUCUUUGGAUAGAACUUCUUUUGCAUAUUUUGAAGAACUUGUGCCAGCGAGAGGAUAUCCGUGGAUUUGACAAACAGAGCUGAGACAUUGAGGGUUUAGCUUUAGGAGAACUGGAGCCAUUCUCCUGGUUUCUAAUUUAUGCUUCAAUAACCUCUUUAGGAGAAGAAUCAUAGUGUUUCUCGUUGUCCAUCUCAAACAAUUUGUUGUCUACAACAAAUGAUAAUCCAUCAGAGGCAAAGCAAAAGAAAAAACAAGCCAUGCACAAUCUCUUUGGAAUACAGCUGAUGUCACCUUGAGCAGAAGCCGAGGAAGAGAUAUUAUUAUUCUGUCCAGCAACAACAACUUUGUUUUCUGAGGUAACGACGUGAUAUCAACAGAGAACAAGUGAGCGAUAUCUUAGCUAAAUGACCAAGGUAGACAGGGAGGAGAGCUUGGCCAGGGUCCUCAGUAGCUGUCAGCUGAUAGAUAGCACUCCAUUGUUCGGAGGUGCUUAUGGCUAUUCUUUUGAUGUACAUUCAUAUAUGCAUGUUUUGGGCAUGACGGAGUCUUUUUCCAUCCAUGUAUUCAUUAUGUUAGUAGAGGCUCGUAAAUACGCAGUGUGGGUUAGAUGGUCUCACAAGAUGUUUUCAUAUGUAUGUAUAUUAUUUUGAUGGCCGAGAGGCAAAUGUAUAUAAAGUAUUUAUGUUUUGAUUAAAUACGAUUUUCCUACAAUUGGUAUGUAAAA